rnacentral:rRNA from 1 species
CCUACGGGAUGCUGCAGUGAGGAAUAUUGGUCAAUGGACGAGAGUCUGAACCAGCCAAGUAGCGUGAAGGAUGAAUGCCCUCUGGGUUGUAAACUUCUUUUAUCUGGGAAUAAAACGUUCCACGUGUGGGAUUUUGUAUGUACCAUAUGAAUAAGGAUCGGCUAACUCCGUGCCAGCAGCCGCGUUAAUACGGAGGAUCCGAGCGUUAUCCGGAUUUAUUGGGUGUAACGGGAGCGUAGGUGGAUUGUUAAGUCAGUGGUGAAAGUUUGCGGCUCAACCGUAAAAGUGCAGUUGAAACUGGCAGUCUUGAGUACAGUAGAGGUGGGCGGAAUUCGUGGUGUAGCGGUGAAAUGCUUAGAUAUCACGAAGAACUCCGAUUGCGAAGGCAGUUCACUGGACUGCAACUGACACUGAGGCUCGAAAGUGUGGGUAUCAAACAGGAUUAGAUACCCCAGUAGUC